GGGAUGUUUACAGGACAGCCCAACCCAGAAGGAGUUUUCAUUCUUAAAUCAAGAGGUCUCCAGAAAAAAGGAAAUAUGGCCCAAUUGCAGGGAAGGUUGGUCUCCAUCCGCCUGCCUGAGGUGGGAGGGAAGAAGAGGACCCUCGCAACCCUAAAGAAAGGCGCCACACCCCACCCUCUCCCCACGGAGGACAAGUCCCUGGUGAGACUCAGGCGCACCACACCCACACCUGCUGGCAAAGAGCUGCAUUAGGGACAUCCCUUGCCUGCGCUGGCGCGGGUGUGGCGCUGGCCGCCUGUUCUCGGUGCCUCGUGUAGGAUGGGGAGAAUGGUCCCUCCCUUUCCUUCUCAAGGAUGAUGUCAAGGGACAAACAAGAUCGGAACAUGCCUGAGAGGGAGGGCACGGCACGAACGCCGGGCGCUGUCAUCACGGCUCCUUCGCCCUUUCCAGCCCUUCCCCGGCCUUCUUCCUCCUGUCUCUCUCAUCUCGUAAAGCAGGUUGUAUCUGAAGAGUUGUGUUUGGCUCAAGGUCACGCAAGGUUGAGCGCCUCCGCUGGAUUUAAACAAAGAGCAAUUGAGCUCCUAAUCUAUGGCCCGGCCCAUUGGACCACAGUGACCUCUGGUCUCUGUACCUGGAAGCCCUGCCCUGGUGGAGGAAUAAUGGGCCUGCUCUCCAGGUGGCGUGGAAACUCGUUGGGCGGCUCCUCCCCCAGCGGCCAGGCCAAUCCAGCUCUCUUUGGUGUGCACCUCCCACCUGCCCAGCCGGCUUACCCAGCGGGGUUGGCCAGACAGAUGCUCCAGGGAGUCUGGGGAUACCAACGCUCUUUGAGAGUUCAGAUGUGAUGGACA